rnacentral:pre_miRNA from 1 species
AGUGGGAUAAUUGGGUCGAAUGGUGGUUCCAUUCCAAGUUUUCUGAGGAAUCUCCAUACUGCUUUCCAGAGUGGUUGCACCAAUUUGCAGUCCCACCAGCAAU